rnacentral:lncRNA from 10 species
CGAUAUCACCCAGCAGAUGUGUGGCAGAAAAACCCGCUGGAUGCGUGGCAGAAAAACCCGCCUUUGAACUCCGGCCCUAAGAGAGGACAGGGCCAGGCUGCAGAGCUGUGCCUCACGCCCUCCUUUCCCUCCCACAAGGACUGGUUACAAAGACCCCGUCAACACCUAAGUCCACGCCGUAUCGUGCACCCCUCAGUCACCCCCUGUCCCAGAAGGACUCCUACACUGUGAGGCCCUCCCAGAAUCC